rnacentral:rRNA from 1 species
AUUGAACGCUGGCGGCAUGCUUUACACAUGCCAGUCGAACGGUAACAGGCCUUCGGGUGCUGACGAGUGGCGAACGGGUGAGUAAUGCAUCGGAACGUACCCAGAGGUGGGGGAUAACGCAGCGAAAGCUGUGCUAAUACCGCAUGUGAUCUGAGGAUGAAAGCGGGGGACCGAGCAGCAAUGUUUGGCCUCGCGCCUUUGGAGCGGCCGAUGUCGGAUUAGCUAGUUGGUGGGGUAAAGGCCUACCAAGGCGACGAUCCGUAGCUGGUCUGAGAGGACGACCAGCCACACUGGGACUGAGACACGGCCCAGACUCCUACGGGAGGCAGCAGUGGGGAAUUUUGGACAAUGGGCGCAAGCCUGAUCCAGCAAUGCCGCGUGCGGGAAGAGGGCCUUCGGGUUGUAAACCGCUUUUGGCAGGAACGAAACGGUGUCCGCUAAUACCGGGCGCUAAUGACGGUACCUGCAGAAUAAGCACCGGCUAACUACGUG